GUGAAUCAUCGAAUCUUUGAACGCAAAUUGCGCCUUUUUCGGAAGGCAUGUCUGUUUGAGGGCACCAUUUAACAAAUAAUGUGCAGCGUUUUUGGUUGCACAGUUGGAGAGCCUUUCCAGAAAUUUUAAAUUUUUGGGGCCCCAUAAUAAACAGCGGGAAAGUUUUUUUCAUUUGAGUUG
rnacentral:misc_RNA from 1 species